rnacentral:lncRNA from 1 species
AAGAACGCACAAGAGUGAUGAGCUGCUCUCUCGCUUUCCUACAAUUUCUCCAUCACAUCUCAGCCCAGGCCUGGACCAUCAUGGUGUGAGAUUCAAAGCCAGAUCACUGGAAACAAGUUUCUUUUGUAUGAUUGUGGGAGCAAGAAAAAAAUCAAAACUGUUGGUCCUCUGGGGAUGAAGCUGAAGAACACAGCAUUUUGGGGGACACAGAGGGAACCUCUGAAAGACCUGGGGGAAGAGCUCAGAAAGAAAGUACUGGACAUCAAAGCAGAGAUUUUGAUGAAGAGUGAUUCUCUCACCAUGCAGGGCAGCCUGAUGUCCCCGGCAGGGCCGAUGGACACACCAGAGGAUCCUGGUGGUUUGCCUUCAAUGGGCAGUUAA